AUCUGUCCUCAACUUGGGAAUAACGGUUGGAAACGACCGCUAAUACCGAAUGUGGUAUGUUUAGGCAUCUAAAACAUAUUAAACAAGGGGAUCUUCGGACCUUUCGGUUGAGGGAGAGUCUAUGGGAUAUCAGCUUGUUGGUGGGGUAAUGGCCUACCAAGGCUUUGACGUCUAGGCGGAUUGAGAGAUUGACCGCCAACAAUGGGACU
rnacentral:rRNA from 1 species